GACGUAGGGCGCAAGCGUUGUCCGGAUUUAUUGGGCGUAAAGAGCUCGUAGGCGGCCUGUCGCGUCGACCGUGAAAACCCGCAGCUCAACUGCGGGCUUGCGGUCGAUACGGGCAGGCUGGAGUUCGGUAGGGGAGACUGGAAUUCCUGGUGUAGCGGUGAAAUGCGCAGAUAUCAGGAGGAACACCGGUGGCGAAGGCGGGUCUCUGGGCAGUAACUGACGCUGAGGAGCGAAAGCGUGGGGAGCGAACAGG
rnacentral:rRNA from 1 species